rnacentral:piRNA from 1 species
AAUUGUAUUUGCAAUAAACUGAUCGGAC